CUUCUUUUAUUGGAGCAGCGCCUAGUAUUUUUAUUUGUUGUUGUUGUUGUUGUUGCUGUUUUGUUGUUGUUUACCUUUCAGCUGACUCCCUUGCUGUAAAAAAAAAGCGUAGACUGUAUAUGUUCUUCAAUAAAUCUCAAGGUGCCAAGAUACCGUGGAGAUAACUUGAAUUCCUAUAAGAACAAAAGACAAUCGCCGACAAUGCCCGUGACGUCAUCAAGUACACAGCAGCAGCAGGCAACCCAGCCAACCAUUCAGUGUUCGUCCUUCUUCCGUGAUGGUUGAUAAGUGGAUGUCUGGGGAAGGUAAACUGUGGUGACCCGGAUGUUAGACUGGACCUAUAUUAAUGUGCAUUCCCCCUACGGUACGGAGGUGAGCACCGCCGCAACGCGCAGCAAUAUCCUGUACUUUACUUUUGGUAGCAGACGACACAACUACAGGCGCCCACCAGAUGUAAACAACUUGUUCGCCACUGCCACUUCCGAUCCACGCUGCCCUAGGUGAGCUGCCGGGCCGACUCCAGACAGCAUGAGCAGUUUCGGGGUGGCCAAGGCGCCCGCGGACAGCACCACCUCCCUCGUCACCCGAACCACCCGCCUCUGCCACACAAAAAAGGAGGGAGAGGGCCUUGGAAGUCCUCGCUCCUCUUGAAGUAAGGCAGCACACUCUCGUAGUCCCAGCCAGGGUUCCCAAGCUCCGCCCACAGGUCAUAAUCACGCCUGUUGCCCCGCGCGUACACCAG